ensembl:lncRNA
GGUAGAGGCAGAGCUUUCUGUGGUGGGAAGAUUUUGUUUAGGUUUGUGGUUUGGGGACCCAGUGGAUAGAUACACGGACCUGUUUAUUCUGGAACUUAAAGCCAAAGCUUGGAGAUAGAAUAUAGAUCAAACUGGAGAUCCACUGGUCUCUGCUUCUGAAGUGCUGGCACUUUUGUACAAGACCAGCCGAGUGUGAAGACGGAGGUCCUGGCAUUUUGACUGAGCUGGGGACUGAACCCGGGGCCUUGCGCUUGCUAGUGUUAGAGGGUUGAAAGAAUGGAAGACAAAAGGUGAAGAAGGGACAAAGAAGAACCCACCAAGUAGCAAACGACAGCCAACUGCAUAGCUGUGUCUCUGAGACAGGGUUGUGUGCUGCUAUGAUUGCUGCAUGGACUCAGCUGAGUGUGAGCUCUCAGCUUGUCAGCUCCCAAUGCCCACAACCCCAACUGAUACUCAGGCUUUGAAAACAUCCGAGGUGGGGGUGGUGGGGGAGGGAGAGAUCCCCUACUCCUCAUCGAACUGGGCAGAAGGAACUGCUCUGUAAUUUCAUCCCAUUUGGCUAGCUUUUUCUAGCUCCUAGUUCAUCAGGAAAGCAAUCACUUCAGUAAAUGGUAGAGCCUGGAUGAGAAGGGAUAUGUUGUUCCCAGCGACUUCCAAGCUUUAUGUAAUGAUCCACCACAGAAGUACCUUUUACCCCCGGCUGCCCACAGUACAGUCAUGCACAAGACCUAGAAAACAGAACCCAC